UUUCAGAUGGUUUUUGGUAAAAAUGAAAGUGGCCGCAUCCGUGUUCAUCCUCAACCUUUAUAUAUGUGAUGUAUUUAUCAAUAAAAUAACAAACUUAUAUUAAUAUUAAGGAUGAACACGAAAUGCGGCCACUUUUGUUUAACACACGAAAACCGUCUAAAA
rnacentral:sRNA from 1 species